AUUUGUUUGCCUUACCAUUCUCAGCUGCUUGAUUACAUCUAAUGAUUUCUCACCCGCUGAGGGGGAGCAGGUGCGGAAGGAGAACGAAUGGUGCGAAGAGAAUAUUUGAAACUCUUAGAUAUCAUAAUGUUCUUUGUUGUUGCUGUCCAAUAAAUUUUAUAGUUUAGAAAAUUAACAUUUAAAGUCUACAUCAAUUGCCAAAUAUUGGCGCUAAGUUUGCUAGUUAAAUAUUGUUAAGACUAUAAGAGCCUUGGCAGCCUGAAAUAAUUUACAAUAAGUCACUCAAUUACUUUUGUAUUUGCUUAUUAUUUAGAAAAAAUUAGUAAACCAAACGCAUGCAAUUUGUAUUAACAUGGCUAAUAAAUUAAGACAUUUCGUGGUUAUAAUUUAGGUGCGAAAAAUGUGUUUUAUGUUUUGAUUUGUUUUAUGUUAAAUGGUCAGCGUUAUAGAUAACAGCAAAAAAUUCGUUGGUGUGUUUUGUUUUUAAAUAAAUAAUAAUGUGUUGAGUGAAUUUUGCAAAGUAAGUUCCAUAAAAUGUUACUUAUUUUUCUCUUGAUGUAUGUGUGU